UAGGGCCGGGUUAGCCCUGUAGCCCCAAACAACGUAUUUUUUUUCUUUUGACCCUGAAUUAUUCUCUGUUCAAACACUUGCUUAAGAGCUUGCAACCGUAGCAUAGGUAGACGACAGUACAAAGUCGACGGAAGACAGCGGCGCAUGGUGGACGACAACACAAAGUAGAGUCAACAACAGCUCUUGACGACAACGGUGGUACAGACGACGAAGAAGAAUCAAGGUAUUGCAUUUUGGAUUGCUACUUCACGGGAUAAAAACAUAACGGGUAAAAGUUACUAAUGAUCCAUUUUGUUUUAUCUGCCUUUUGUUUUAUUUUUUGUUUUAUUGAACUCCUGCAGUCUGCAUUCUGAGUAUUGAAUGGGUGGGAUAUUCUUUUUUUCUUAUUAAGAUAACAUUAUUUUUUUGUUUGAAUUUUCAUAUUAGGUAUUAUGCUUUAUGUUGCUGUCUUUUCAUAUAUGGAUAAAUAAUUUUAAUAUCAUGAUUUUAAUAUGUUGUUGUCUUUUCAUAUUAUGCUUUAUGUUGUUAGCUAUAAUGAUUUUAAUAGUGAUUUUGUGACCUUUAAACUUAGUUGGUUCAUAUUUAAUAACAUGAUUUGGAUCUAUUUUGGGCAUCUUUUGUCUUCCCCUUUUUCUGCCUUAAAUUUGCCUCUUAAGUAUGGACCACUUUAAGAGUAACCCUUUAACUUUGGUUGAUGAUCUUGCAUCUGAAACUCCUGGUCCAUCUGAAAGUGCUACCACAAAUAAAAAGGAAGUUUCAAAUAUUUGGAAUUUUUUCACAAAAAUAGGAAAAGAUGAGGAUGGCAUUGAAAAGGCUGCAUGUAAGUAUUGUGGCAAUAACUACAAAGUUGGAAAACACCCUGUUACUAAAAAUAAUUAUGGAACUUCACAUUUAAGUCGACAUGUCAAUGCGUGUAGAAGUAUUGCAAACUUAGAUGUGGAUAUGAAUCUUUACCAAGAAGGAAAGUUUGGGACACGAAAAAUCAAUCAAAAGAUUCAUCGUAAGCUACUUGCAAGAGCCAUAAUUAAACAUAGUCUCCCUUAUAAUUUUGUUGAAUAUGAAGGAAUCAGGGAGUGGAUAAAAUACAUUAAUCCGAAUGUUGACAUGAAAUGUAGGAACACUACUGUAUCAGAUGUGGAAAAGGAAUACAUUGAACAAAAGGAUAAAGUUAAGCAAAUCAUGUCUAAGAUUCCUAAUAGAAUUUGUUUAACCUCUGAUGUUUGGACUGCAGUUACUUCUGAGGGAUAUAUUUGCCUAACUGCACACUUUGUUGAUGAAAAUUGGAAAUUGACAAGUAAGAUUCUUAACUUCUGUCGAAUGAAACCACCACAUAGAGGUGUUGAACUAGAAAGUGUUGUGUUUGAUUGCCUAAAGCAAUGGGGUAUUGAUAAGAAAAUUUUCUCAAUUACCCUGGAUAAUGCUUCUGCCAAUAAUAAUUUGCAAGACAUUUUAAAAAGCCAUCUUUGUGUUCAUAGAAAUUAUUAUGUGAUGGUGAGUUUUUUCAUGUACGAUGUUGUGCUCACACUCUUAAUUUGAUAGUUCAAGAUGGUUUAAAGGUGAUUGACAGAGCACUCCAUAGUAUUAGAGAGAGUAUUAAGUAUGUUAAAUCAUCAGAUGGAAGAACUCUCAAAUUCAAAGAAUGUGUUAGUGAUGUUGACAUAAAUAUGAGUAUGGGUUUGAGAUUAGAUGUGACUACAAGAUGGAAUUCAACCUAUUUAAUGCUAGAAAGUGCAAUCAAAUAUAAGAAACCUUUUGAAAUUCUCAAAGUGGUUGAUAGAAAUUAUAAAAAUUGUCCAUCUUUUGAGGAAUGGAAUAGGGGGGAGAAAAUAUGUCAAUUCUUAGAACCAUUUUAUGAGAUUACAAACAUGAUGUCUGGUUCAUCUUAUCCCACUUCAAACUUGUAUUUUAUGCAAAUUUGGAAAAUUCAGCUUAUCAUUGAAGAGAAUUUAUUGAAUAAAGAUCUCACCUUAAAGGAUAUGGCUUGGAAUAUGAAAGAAAAGUUUCAAAAGUAUUGGAAGGAGUAUAGUAUUGGGUUAGCUUUUGGAGCUAUUCUUGACCCACGACUAAAAGUUGAUUUUAUAACAUAUUGUUAUAAAAUUUUGGAUCCUCUAACCUAUGCAGAGAAAACAAAGAAAGUGUUAGAGAAGUUCAAGAGGUUAUUUAAAGAAUAUGUAAAGAAUUUUUCUAUCCCUGGUGUUUCUCUUUCUCAAUCACCUACUGAAUCCAUCUUGAUGUCUCAAUCCAAUACUGAAGGGAAAAAGUUUAAGAGAUCAAGGAUUAUUUCGGAUUUUAAAAUGUACAAAAUCUAUUGUUGGAAAGAACGAGAUAGAUGUUUAUUUAGAUGAACCAACAAUAGAUGAUGAUGAAGACAAUGAAGAUUUUGAUGUGCUCAAAUAUUGGAAGACUAAUGAGAAAAAAUUUGCCAUAUUGUCUAUAAUGGCUCGAGAUGUAUUUAGUAUUCCCAUUACUACAGUGGCAUCAGAGUCAGCUUUUAGCAAAGGUGGGCGUGUACUUUCAAAAUAUAGAAGCUCCAUUCUUCCUGAGCAUGUGCAAAUGUUGAUUUGUACUCAAAAUUGGCUAUAUGGAUUUUCUGAAAAUCCUAGCGAUGAAAUUGUUGAAGAUAUUUUUGGUCAUGAGAGAAUUGAUGAGUCUAACCUUUUAGAAGAUGUUGAAAGUCUUCAACAUUGAAUAAAUGAUGUUUCAUUUGACUUUGUCUCAGCUUUACGUAUAUGGCUGCUGCUGGUGCAGGUUCAACGGCUUCUGACCCGACAAGAUUAUACUAAUUCUGGAAGGAAGAUCCUCCAUUACAUUGAAGAGCCUCGGUGAUCCAGGAAGUCAUUGAUUUAAAAGUCAUUUUCGCUUAAGCGAGAAUAAUUUAGCUUAAGCGAGAAUGACUAUCUUCUUUAAGAAGAUUAUUCUCGCUUAAGCGAGAAUAAUUUAGCUUAAGCGAGAAUUCGGGCAGUAUAUAUACUCACUAAGCAGAAAGAGAAAAUGUCUUUAGUUCUUUGGAGGCGCGAUUUCACGUCUAGAGCUCAUGGAGGGCGCGAGGAGCUUGUGGGAACAUCUCCUCCUCUUCCUUUGGAUCUCCUUCUUCUUCCAUCUUCCAUGUUUGUAAGCUUUAGGUUCUCCAUUAGGGUUAGAUGUAGCCUAUGAACUUUUGUGUAAUGAAUGAUUGUUUCAUAUUUAUAAAUGCCUUUUCUAUCUAUUACUAGUAUUCUUGUUUCCAAUCUUAAAGCUUGCAUGUAAUGGGGACGUUCAUGACUUGAUUUUGGGUAUUUAAUGGAAACAUGUAAGCUUUAAGAUCAGAAACAGAUUACUAGUAAUAGAUAGAAAAGACAUUUAUAAAUACGAAACAAUCAUUCAUUACACAAGAGUUCAUAGACUACACCUAAAAUAUAUGAAUUGUUAUAAGAGAACAUAGAACUAUAGUAAAAUAAAAAAGAUUUAUCAUUUAAGAUAUGAAUUGAAUAUAUAUGAUAUA